rnacentral:lncRNA from 1 species
CUCAUGAAGGCUUAACCUACCAUGUUUAUCAGAAAUCUCAGCCUAAAUUCAUUCGAUUUUUACCUAGAGAUGAGGAAUGUGUUAAAUCACUCUACUCCACAAGGAACCAAACCAAACAGCAUCAGCACCAGGCUGAGUCGCGGAAAGGAUCUGUCAGACCGCUCCACUGGCAUCGACUCAGCUCGGGAGCUACGUUCAAAGAAGGGGCAUGGUGCUAUUCCUGGCUUCAGGCAUCUGCUGGAGUGCAGUGGCACCGUCACAGCUCACUGCAGCCUCAAGCAAUCCUCCAGCCUCAGCCUCCUCAGUAGCCGGGACUACCAGGACUACACCACCACACUUGGUUUUGAACCAUAUUUCAAGAUAACCCGAUAGCCCAGCUGAUGUGGAGCUCUUCUUUGAAGAAGUCCAGCAAACAAAUGAAGAAGUUACAGAACUAGAAAACUUCGCAAACUC